GCUGGGCCUGGCGGCUCAUGCCUGUAAUCCCAGCGGCUCAGGAGGCUGAGGCAGGAGGAUCGUGGGUUCAAAGCCAGCCUUAACAAAAGUGAGGUGCUAAGCAACUCAGUGAGACCCUGUUUCUA
rnacentral:sRNA from 1 species